UUAUUCGAUUAUCAAUUUUAU
rnacentral:piRNA from 1 species